rnacentral:tRNA from 1 species
GCGCCCAUAGCUCAAUGGAUAGAGCGUUUGACUCCGACUCAAAAGGUUGUAGGUUCGAUUCCUAUUGGGCGCGCCA